CAGCCGCCGCGGUAAUACAGAGGGUGCGAGCGUUAAUCGGAUUUACUGGGCGUAAAGCGUGCGUAGGCGGCUAAUUGAGUCGGAUGUGAAAUCCCCGAGCUUAACUUGGGAAUUGCAUUCGAUACUGGUUAGCUAGAGUGUGGGAGAGGAUGGUAGAAUUCCAUGUGUAGCGGUGAAAUGCGUAGAGAUCUGGAGGAAUACCGAUGGCGAAGGCAGCCAUCUGGCCUAACACUGACGCUGAGGUACGAAAGCAUGGGGAGCAAACAGGAUUAGAUACCCGCGUAGUCCCUGUCUCUUAUAC
rnacentral:rRNA from 1 species